CGGGCAGCCAUUUAAUGAUAAUGAAUUACCUGAAGAAAAACAACUAUCAGGACUGGGCAGGUGUAAACAGUGGGUACACACACGGUUCAUUGUUUUGUGCCAGGUUGUAAUCAUCGCUAUGGAGUGAGUAACUGCAAAUCUUUUUACCGAUUUCCCAACAAUUGAGCUGAAAGGCGCCGGUGGAUCAGACUAAGAUCCCAGACAUCUACUGUCCCCCUGAACCUUUCACGACCCAUCAGCAGAGCAUCGCUCGUCAGCUUCCCUCAGAUUCACGUCACCUCAGCUCUUCUCCCUCUCAUCCAUCAGCAGAGCAUCGCUCGUCAGCUUCCCUCAGAUUCACGUCACCUCGGCUCUUCUCCCUCUCGCCUCUCGGUGUCCCCUGUGGUAGAAAUUCACAUAUUAGUACUCUUUCUAAGGCAGAAUACAGGUUCGGUACCUUUCUAAUCAGGAAUGUGGCGGAGGUCUUAGGAGGCAUUAAAAAUGGAAAGCCACUGUACUCGUCAGUGGAUCACAGGUGGAGGCAGACACAGUGGUCUUCAGGGCACAUCCCUGUGGACACAUUCAUGGCCACGCUGAACUCCAGUGUCACGCCAGACACCCCCACAGCUGGGCUCUGUCUGCUGAAAUAGUGUGAGAGCUGACAAAACAAAUCAACAAGUGACACGACAAACAGAAUGCUCAAGUGGCAUUAUAAAUAAAUUCGGCCUUUAUAAAUACAUUUGAUUGAUUGUCUCUUGCUCCGUUUAAACUUAGGAGGACAUGAGGUCUUGGCCCACACCUGGGAUACCAGGCACUAAAGACUCAUUGCUACCCCUGUCCAAAGUCCUCCUGGUUGUGUUUCCAGAUCAAGAUUCCACAAUUCCAGCUGCCUGUCUGCUGGCCCUCCAGUUGUCCCUGUCCUUGUCCAUCUAGUCAAGCUUCUGACCUGGAGUAGGUUUUAUAGACUCUGCCCACAGCCCAAAUGCAUUUAUUAUUACGACUUGUACUCUUAAAAUGUUCACCCAGCACAGCCAGAGGAGGAAUGGUCACCCCUCCGAGCUUGGUUCCUCUCUAGGUUUCUUCCAAAAUGUUGCACCUCUUAGGGAGUUUUUCCUAGCCACUGUGAUUCAACACUGUUGCUGCGUGCUCAGACUGGGUGUUUUUGUAAAAACACUUUUUUGACAACUGCUGAUGUAAAAAGGGCUUUAUAAAUAAAGUUGUUUUUAACAGAGUUCAUGAAUUUCCCCUUUUGAUGAUUUUCAUCCCCCCG
ensembl:lncRNA